rnacentral:rRNA from 1 species
AACUCAGACGAGACUACCCGCUGAACUUAAGCAUAU